CCUACGGGAGGCAGCAGUGAGGAAUAUAGGUCAAUGGACGAGAGUCUGAACCAGCCAAGUAGCGUGAAGGAUGACUGCCCUAUGGGUUGUAAACUUCUUUUAUAUGGGAAUAAAAUGUUCCACGUGUGGGAUUUUGUAUGUACCAUAUGAAUAAGGAUCGGCUAACUCCGUGCCAGCAGCCGCGGUAAUACGGAGGAUCCGAGCGUUAUCCGGAUUUAUUGGGUUUAAAGGGAGCGUAGGCGGAAGGUUAAGUCAGCGGUCAAAUGUCGGUGCGCAACACCGGCCUGCCGUUGAAACUGGUCUUCUUGAGAUGUCGAGAGGUAUGCGGAAUGCGCAGUGUAGCGGUGAAAUGCUUAGAUAUUGCGCAGAACUCCGAUUGCGAAGGCAGCAUACCGGCGGCGAUCUGACGCUGAGGCACGAAAGCGUGGGUAUCGAACAGGAUUAGAUACCCGAGUAGUC
rnacentral:rRNA from 1 species